GCUUGUCUCAAAGAUUAAGCCAUGCAUGUCUUAGUGUAAAUAACUCUUAUGAAACUGCGAAUGGCUCAUUAAAUCACACCUAAUCUACUGGAAAGUUACUAGUUACUUGGAUAACUGAGGUAAUUCUUGAGCUAAUACAUGCGAAAAAUCUCGACUCACGGAGAGAUGCUUUUAUUAGAUCAAAACCAAACGGCUUCGGCCGUUCCACUGGUGAAUCUGAAUAACUUUGAGCGGAUCGCACGGCCUUGUGCCGGCGACGUGUCCUUCCAAGGUGUGCCCUAUCAACUGUCGACUGUGGCAUAGACGCCCACAGUGGUUUUGACGGGUAACGGGGAAUCAGGGUUCGAUUCCGGAGAGGGAGCCUUAAAAACGGCUACCACAUCCAAGGAAGGCAGCAGG
rnacentral:rRNA from 1 species